AGGAAUAUAGUUAAUUAUAACAUUUAGAUUGCACCUAAAAAGUAUUGUUAAAUACGAACAAUUGUUCUUA
rnacentral:tRNA from 1 species